rnacentral:lncRNA from 1 species
GUCUUUUGGGGUCCUCUCCUCUAACACCGAAUAGAGUGCCACAUCCGCCAAAUAUCCUCUAAUCACAGAACAAGCUUUCUUCUCCAGGGACAUGCACUGACUAUCCGUCAUCUCUUCAGGCUUCUUCUCUAAUGCCAGAUCCAAAUCUACUUGAAUAAAAAAAUCUUCUACCUAAAUUUUCUAUAUGAAAAAAAAAUUUCUCAUCAAACUUUUCAAAAUCAACCUUCAUGUUACUUUCCAUGACUAGAUCCAAAUCAAAAACAU